GGAAUAUAGCUCAGUUGGUAGAGUGUUUGCCUCACAUGCACAAGGCCAGGGUUCGAUCCCUAGCACCA
rnacentral:tRNA from 1 species